rnacentral:rRNA from 1 species
AGCGAACGCUGGCGGCAGGCUUAACACAUGCACGUCGAGCGGGCGUAGCAAGACGUCAGCGGCAGACGGGUGAGUAACACGUGGGAACGUACCUUUUGGUUCGGAACAACGGAGAGAAACUCCAGCUAAUACCGGAUACGCCCUAACGGGGAAAGAUUUAUCGCCGAAAGAUCGGCCCGCGUUGGAUUAGCUAGUUGGCGAGGUAAUGGCUCACCAAGGCGACGAUCCAUAGCUGGUCUGAGAGGAUGAUCAGUCACGUUGGGACUGAGACACGGCCCAAACUCCUACGAGAGGCAGCAGUGGGGAAUAUUGGACAAUGGGCGCAAGCCUGAUCCAGCCAUGCCGCGUGAGUGAUGAAGGCCUUAGGGUUGUAAAGCUCUUUCACCGAUGAAGAUAAUGACGGUAGUCGGAGAAGAAGCCCCGGCUAACUUCGUGCCAGCCGCCGCCGUAA